rnacentral:lncRNA from 10 species
UGUCCGAUGGCCAUUCACAGAGAAAGAAGUGUUGAACUGAAAGGGGAUGGGGGAGGCCACGUGGCAAGAGAGCAGUGGCCAAGCCAUUUCCGGCUAAUUAACACAUAGAUAUUGAUCAUAUUUCCUCUGCGAAGCUGCUGCAGAUAAGGUGGUCCGUCCCCCUUGGUCACCACAUCAUCAAUAAGCAGACAGCCCCUUUCUAGAAGAGUCCAUAAUCCAAACAUGCUUUGGGAUCAAAUGGAAAUUGCAAAGGUCAUAUGCAAUAACUCAUUCAAGCUGACCUUUUGAGUUCAAGAGAAACUAGGAUGACAAGAUAGAAGUGUGGCUUUUAGACAGAGGGCCAUCCUGCCUGGGGACAUCAACAGAUCUUGGUAGCUUUAUUUUAGAACUAGAAAGAAUGGCAGGAGAAGCAACGAGCAUCCUCAUUAAAGCUGAUUUACUGGAGAGACUCAAAAUCCUCCUUUCCUCUUUGGUAUCACCCAAGUCACUCAUGCCAAUUUGUGAAGCUGCACAUCAUUAUUUUAAUUGUCUGCAGCCCUUGGGUGAGUUUUAAUCAUCUCAGUGGCCUGGUGGCUACAAGCAGGGCUCUGGACACUACAGUGAAGAGUUUUCACAGGCACAUUUGGUGUCCACCAAUUCAGAUGGGACCAAAGAAACUAAAGGAACGUAGUCUCAUUGAUAAACUUUGGGGCAAGUUUUGGGUUUUGUUUUGUUCCUUCUCUCAUAGCAUAGGAGCUAACUGUCCUCUGAUGUAACAAAGAUAAAUCAGAAUCAGGCUCUGGCAAAGUAACAGCUCCUCAUUUGGCUUUGGGGAACUAUCGCUUCCUGUUGGAUACAAUCGUAGUGGUUCUUUUAACCAAAUCUAAGCCAGGCUAGAAACACAACACCGGAAUUUCAGUCUUGAAUGUUCUUGAGAAUGGUCAGAGGUCAACGGAGACUGCAGUACCCUGAAGAGAGUAUCCAUUGGUUCCUGCGGCCUGAACCCUGGGCUUUGCUCUGGCUCCUGUCCUUUCUGAGCCUAUAUUUUCUGCUUUUCCUUUAUUUCUGUGACCUACCCGCAUAUCUUCACAAUAAAUGUCUUUUUGCUUAAAUUA